rnacentral:rRNA from 1 species
UACGUAGGGUGCAAGCGUUGUCCGGAAUUAUUGGGCGUAAAGAGCUCGUAGGCGGUUUUGUUGCGUCGGCUGUGAAAUCCCGAGGCUCAACCUCGGGUCUGCAGUCGAUACGAGCAAACUAGAGUGUUGCAGGGGAGACUGGAAUUCCUGGUGUAGCGGUGAAAUGCGCAGAUAUCAGGAGGAACACCGAUGGCGAAGGCAGGUCUCUGGGCAUUAACUGACGCUGAGGAGCGAAAGCAUGGGGAGCGAACAGG